GAGAGAGGCCUAGAGGCAAUAAUGACUGCUAAUCCUUAUCUCCUUGGUUAAAUCCCAGGGCUCACUCG